AACGUAGGAGACAAACGUUAUCCGGAAUUACUGGGCGUAAAGCGCGCGUAGGCGGACCUGCAAGUCGGGGGUGAAAGCCCGAGGCUCAACCUCGGAACUGCCUUCGAUACUGCGGGUCUCGAGUCCGGGAGAGGUGAGUGGAAUUCCUAGUGUAGAGGUGAAAUUCGUAGAUAUUAGGAAGAACACCAGUGGCGAAGGCGGCUCACUGGCCCGGUACUGACGCUGAGGCGCGAAAGCGUGGGGAGCAAACAGG
rnacentral:rRNA from 1 species